GCCCAGGUAGCUCAGUCGGUAGAGCAGUGGACUGAAAAUCCUCGUGUCGGUGGUUCAAAUCCGCCCCUGGGCACCA
rnacentral:tRNA from 1 species